UUCUGCCACUCCUCACUGGAAACUAUCAAACUGAGGAGAAGUUGCUGCCGAGACGCAGUGAGAGUUUUCUUCAGCACGGCACCACACCUAACCAGGCACAUGUUUUUAUAAAGCCAGCCGGGCGCCAAGUGGCAGGGAGGAGGAGGAGGAGGAAUCGGUGCUGUUUGAGCUGAGCCACAGUAUUCUCCAAGUCUUCUAUGACCUCCGACGCCUGGAUGAAGAAAACAGGGAGGAAACUGGUUAGGAAAAAAUGUUAAUCAGUAAAUUUGCCCUCAAUAACAGUAGAUUGAUCAGGUCAGGGAGGAGGAUUUGAGGUGUUGUGCUGAUGUGGACCUUAGCGGCAGACAGAGCAUGUUCCUGAAACAUGUGGCUCAUGUCAGUCUCGUGUUUGGCUUGGAGCUUCUGGUCGCUCUGCUCGUGCUGCUUGCUCUGCUGCACCUUCUCCUUCUGCAGCAUCAUGGUCCUGUGCUCCAGACCGUCUGUUGGCCUCCUGAAGUUCAGCGCUGAUGGAUGCAAUGUGGAUCUCCAACUGGGCCUUCUCCUGUGACACCUUCUGACGCAGCGUGUUGCCCUUUUCCACCUCCACAGACUGCUGUUUCACCCGCAGCUCCAGCUCACGCACCGCCUGUUUCUGGAUCACACGGAUACACGGAAACCAAUGAACCAUCCAGCUUGAACC